CAGCUGGUCGUUCCAUUAUAUCAGCCAAAGGGGCAAGAGGAGGACUUCACGCUGUUGUGCUACAUGGUUCAGACAUGAAGAACAACCAGAAUCAGCAUUUUACCAUUGACCUGAUGCGGAAAAGAAUAGUACUGCUAAUGUAAGACGAGUCACAGAGGCCUGAGCCGGAAUAUUUCAGCCUCUCUGUGGGUGUCAGCAAGAAUCCUUCUUCAUGUGUGUUUUUACAUGUGAGUGUGAGCCCUAAAUGUACCAUGCAGAGGCGUUUGAAAAAGGCCAGACGCCGUCUGUCAGGCGUUACUCUGUCUUCCCUCCCCUGCCCCCCUCUCCAUCCCACAGCCUGCUCGAUGAUGGAUGACAGCGAAUGAGAAGUUUCCUCUCCUGGACUGCUGACUGGAGCCGGCUGCCGUCAGAGGAACAGCCAUCUGCUUUUCAUUGCAGGGGCCAUUGGGGACUCUUGGGUUUGGACCUGUGUUCUGGCCUUGCAGCAGUACGAUGGGGCAAGACUCGCUGCCAGGCAACAAAUCAGGGUGGGCUGCACAGGAAUGAAGAAACCCAUCUGUGAAAUGUACAAAUGUAGAAAAUAAAUAGUUUAUUCAAACCACA